UCCCCUCCAGCUCUCUCUCCCUCUCUCAACACUGCCCAUCGUAGAAUGCCGCCUACAGCCGCCGCCACCGUCGUGCUCCUAUCCACUUCUCCCCUUUCAUCUCAUGUCGCCGAGAUCGUUGCCGCCGCACUGCUCUCCCGUCGAGCUCGCCCCUCGCCGUUGCUGGGAGGAGACGGUUGACCGUUUGAUUGUAUCGACGCCGACGAGUUUGGUGGGCACCGGGUCCUUCUACACUGUCACCGGCGCCGCCUCCUCGUGAGACCCCCACCAUGGAUCUGUGGUGAUGUAGAAGGGCAGCAAGGCAGCAGCCUCAACGCCACAGGUAACCGCCGAGGAUGUUUAAAAAGGACACCACCAAUAGCAGAGCACUCUAUUGCUGCAAUUAUAUGCAGCGUGGUGUAUGAUGUUGUUGGGUUGUUGACAUGGCCCGUGGUCCAGUUGCGGCUCAUACUCAAGGCACGGUCGAGGCUGCUGUUGGGUUGGUAGGUGGUCGUGGCCGUGGCCGUGGGCGUUCUGCUAGUCGUCGUGGACGAGCCACUGGCCGUGGAGGUUCUAAUAUAGGGCGUGCCCCUGUUUCUGAUCAUGUCGCUGCUUGCCGGGUGCCUGACGCUGGAGCUGAGCCUCUUGACAGGCGUAGGGGUGUGAGU